UACGGAGGGGGCUAGCGUUGUUCGGAAUUACUGGGCGUAAAGCGCACGUAGGCGGCUUUGUAAGUUAGAGGUGAAAGCCCAGGGCUUAACCCUGGAAUUGCCUUUAAGACUGCAUCGCUAGAAUCGUGGAGAGGUGAGUGGAAUUCCGAGUGUAGAGGUGAAAUUCGUAGAUAUUCGGAAGAACACCAGUGGCGAAAGCGGCGCACUGGACCACAACUGACGCUGAGGCGCGAAAGCUAGGGGAGCAAACAGG
rnacentral:rRNA from 1 species